UUUUUUUUUUUUUUUUUUUUUUUUUGGCAGCAAAAAAAAAAUGGAACAUGUAAAUGUCAUUUCAGAAUACCAACAUGUUUAAGAGUGCUAAGAAGAAAAUAAAUUCAGCCAUACAACUUGAAAUCUAGAGAAUAUUGUUUUCUUCCAUCAAGGCAUUCUUGCCAGGUCCUGGAAAUAAUGAUAUCUAGAUUAAUUCAAGUCCCAGAAGCAUGAUGACGCCUCUGAUCAGUCUUUGUAUUCACAAAUUUUUAUGUCAAAAUCAAACCACUGGAGUCAACAGAGGCUUCUUAAAGAAGUGUGCUUCCAAGUUGCCAACAACAAGGUCAGCCAUAGCUUUUCUGGUUUCCACCGUACCACUUCCCACAUGAGGCAAUAGGACUACAUUUUCAAGACCAAAUAGCGGCUCAGGCACAUUAGGCUCGUCUUCAAACACAUCAAGCCCAGCACCACCUAACCUGCCUUCAAGUAGUGCAGACACCAGCUCAGGUUCAUCAACAUGAGGACCUCUACCAAUGUUAAUGAGGACCCCCUUUGGACCUAAUGCAUUCAUAACUUCACGAUUGACAAUGUGGUGGGUUUCUUCUGUUAGUGCACAUGCAACGACAAGGAUUUGACAAUUGGCAGCCAACUCAAUAACGCUUGGAUAGUACCUGUAUUUUACAUCUGGUUUUUCUGUUCUAGCAUAGUAACUAAUUGGACAGCUAAAUGCUUCAGCUCUUGUGGCAAUUGCCAUGCCGAUCCUGCCCAACCCAAUAAUGCCGACAGACUUCCCAGUAAACUUAGUAGUCAACUUGUAGUCACCCUUUUUCCACUUUCCACUCCUGACAUACCGAUCACUCUCACACAACCUCCUCAGUACCGCCAACAUCAACCCAAUAGCCAAGUCGGCGACAUCAUUCGUCAGAACAUCAGGCGUGUUUGUGACCCGUAUCCUUUUCUCCUUGCACUUGGGCAAAUCAACCUUAUCGAGCCCCACGCUGAAACUGGAGACGAUUUCCAGCUUCGGCAAUUGGUCGAUCAGUUCGGCAUCGGCACCGAACCCGGCGUUACCCACGACUGCCCUGAUCGAAUUCUUGUGGGAAUUGAUGAAGUGGGUCUUGUCUGGGGCGUUUUGGAGCUUGUAGAGGGUGAAGCGCUUCUCGAGUUCUUCAACGAGGUAGGGGAAGUUUGGAGGGCAGGUCAUUAGAACACCGAUCGACUCCAUUGGUAUUUUUGGAUGGAGUCCUCCUAUUUGUCAGGAGAAGUGAGCCUUUCAGUGCGAGUGAUAAUGGAAGAGUUGCGAUUUUGUACAGUUUGGCUGCGGUUGGUUUGGGGUAUUCAGGGGUCAGCGUGACUGCGUAGUUGCAGUUUACAGGUGAGUUUUCUUUGGAUUUUUGCGUUUGGAUUUCGCUUGUGGCGUGGCAC
rnacentral:misc_RNA from 1 species